GGGUAACUGAGUGUAGGCUUUGCCUGCUAUCUCUUACCCAUGUCUUUUGAGUACCUUACGUUUCCUCGGCGGGUCCGCCCGCCGAUUGGACAAUUUAAACCAUUUGCAGUUGCAAUCAGCGUCUGAAAAAACUUAAUAGUUACAACUUUCAACAACGGAUCUCUUGGUUCUGGCAUCGAUGAAGAACGCAGCGAAAUGCGAUAAGUAGUGUGAAUUGCAGAAUUCAGUGAAUCAUCGAAUCUUUGAACGCACAUUGCGCCCCUUGGUAUUCCAUGGGGCAUGCCUGUUCGAGCGUCAUUUGUACCUUCAAGCUCUGCUUGGUGUUGGGUGUUUGUCUCGCCUCUGCGUGUAGACUCGCCUCAAAACAAUUGGCAGCCGGCGUAUUGAUUUCGGAGCGCAGUACAUCUCGCGCUUUGCACUCAUAACGACGACGUCCAAAAGUACAUUUUUACACUCUUGACCUCGGAUCAGGUAGGGAUACCCGCUGAACUUAAGCAUAUCAAUAGCCGGAGGAAGA
rnacentral:rRNA from 1 species